rnacentral:rRNA from 1 species
GGUGAGUAAUGUCUGGGAAACUGCCUGAUGGAGGGGGAUAACUACUGGAAACGGUAGCUAAUACCGCAUAACGUCGCAAGACCAAAGAGGGGGACCUUCGGGCCUCUUGCCAUCGGAUGUGCCCAGAUGGGAUUAGCUUGUUGGUGGGGUAACGGCUCACCAAGGCGACGAUCCCUAGCUGGUCUGAGAGGAUGACCAGCCACACUGGAACUGAGACACGGUCCAGACUCCUACGGGAGGCAGCAGUGGGGAAUAUUGCACAAUGGGCGCAAGCCUGAUGCAGCCAUGCCGCGUGUAUGAAGAAGGCCUUCGGGUUGUAAAGUACUUUCAGCGGGGAGGAAGGGAGUAAAGUUAAUACCUUUGCUCAUUGACGUUACCCGCAGAAGAAGCACCGGCUAACUCCGUGCCAGCAGCCGCGGUAAUACGGAGGGUGCAAGCGUUAAUCGGAAUUACUGGGCGUAAAGCGCACGCAGGCGGUUUGUUAAGUCAGA